rnacentral:rRNA from 1 species
AAGCCAUGGAAGUUGGUUACACCCCUGAAGUCGGUGCUCUAACCUUUUGGAGGGGGCGACUAAGGUUGGUUUGUGACUGGGACAAAGUCCCACAAGGUAACCACA